rnacentral:rRNA from 1 species
UACGCGGGGGGCAAAUGUUGUUCGGAAUUACUGGGCGUAAAGCGCGCGUAGGCGGCUUUGUCAGUUAGAGGUGAAAGCCUGGAGCUCAACUUCAGAAUUGCCUUUAAGACUGCAUCGCUUGAAUCCGGGAGAGGUGAGUGGAAUUCCGAGUGUAGAGGUGAAAUUCGUAGAUAUUCGGAAGAACACCAGUGGCGAAGGCGGCUCACUGGACCGGCAUUGACGCUGAGGUGCGAAAGCGUGGGGAGCAAACAGG